rnacentral:lncRNA from 1 species
UACAGACACAAGUCCAAGUGUGUGUUACGACUGGCAGAGGGGCAAGCAGUGAGCAUGAAGAGAGAAGCCAGCCUAGGCUUGAUGGGAAACUGGUUAUAAAGAAGCUGGAAAGCUUCGGAUAUGCUUGUGAACCCACGACCCUGAGUAUAGAACAUGACCCCAACCCUCCGACCCAUGUUGCUGUCGUGCUUUCCCACUUCAAACUGGAAGAUGAUCCAAAGGCCAUAAAGACAUUUGCAUCUCUGUCUGUCUGUCUGUCUGUCUGUCUAUGCCUAUAUAGAUAUAUAAUAUCUAUAAUCACUCCAGGGAUAUUUUUUUUCCUGUUGAGUAACAUGAGAAACUUUAAGAAGUCUGGGAAUGUUGGGAAUGUACAGUUGGUAGAGAGCCUCUCCAGAAUAGAGCAAAGUCCUGGGUUUUGAUGUGCAGCGCUAUGGAAAACAAGCAUGGUGGCACACGCCUGAAUCCUAGCAUCUGGGAGGUACGAGCAGAAGGAUCAGAAGAUCAAAGCCAUCCUCAGGUACAUGAUGGGUUCAAAGCCAGCCUGAGCUACAGAAGACCUUGUCUCAAAAAAAAAAAAAAAAA